rnacentral:lncRNA from 1 species
UGGGCACAAGUUAAAUCUUUUGGACCACUGCCAAACACUGUUUAUAUUUAUGGUGUGCAGAUAGGGAGAGACAAUGGGGCAAAGAGAGGUGGCCCUGCUAACCUCAAUCUGGCUUCUCCCUCUCCCCUGCCCUACCCUCACUCAGAGGAGGUGCAAGGAGGCUGGAAAAUGAAACAGCAGGUGCAUUCUGGAAUGCUUUUAUCCUAAUAAAACUCCUCCAAAGAAUUUGCCGUUUUCCCCUCUGUUCUAUAGCCAGGAUCUGGUUUCAGACCUGCCAGCGUAUUGCCUCAGCAACACCUCCCUGUGCUCCAGACUUGUCCCCAGUUGACCUCCAUCCUGUUCAUUUCUAUCACGUUUUAGGUUAGUGAAUGUCUUCUCUAUGAGACAGUUGAGAUCUUCACAGAAGAUCUCCAAUGAGAUGAGGGUAAGUUAUAAAACCCAAGUCUGUUAAUGCCAAUUACUACUACUUGU